ACAGUGGUGGUUCAGUGGUAGAAUUCUUGCCUUCCAUGCAAAAGACCUGGGUUUGGUUCCCGGCCAACGCC
rfam:Loxodonta africana unplaced genomic scaffold scaffold_97, whole genome shotgun sequence.